GGCACCACCAGGAGUGGAGCCUGCGGCUUAAUUUGACUCAACACAAGGAAAACUCACCCGGCCCGGACAACCUGAGGAUUGACAGACUGACUAGCUCUUUCUUGAUUCGCUUGGUGGUGGUGCAUGGCCGGUUGUAGUUGGUGGAAAAUUUUGUUUGGCUAAUUACUACACCCAACAUGACUCUCGCAAACUAAAAGGGCGGCCCCUGGGGUGUGCGCCCGGGCAGCUAGCUUCUUAGAUUGAGUUGCGCUCACUAAGCGCUUUCCAAUAGAGAAACCUGUGUCUGUGAUGCCCUUAGAUGUCCGGGGCCGCACGCGGGAGAGGCUGAAGUGAUCAACACGCUACCUAGCCCGCUCCGAGAGGAGCGGGUGUGCGUUUGAACCCCCUUCUUGAUCGGGAUUGAUCUGUGCAACUAUUGGUCGUGAUCCAGGAAUUCCCAGAAUGCGUGAAUAAUUACCUUAAGACCAUGACAUCCCUGCGCCAUGUACACGCCGCCAGUCGCUACUACCGAUUGAAUGG
rnacentral:rRNA from 1 species